AUGGGGGUGGCGCCCCUUACCGAUGGCGGCCGCCUCGAGCUGAGUCAUGUGGUCGUCGAGGACGUCGGGGUCCCGGGAGCUGUAGGGCCCGAGCUCGGGGUAGAAGCUGGAGCCCAGGUCGUCGGGGGGGCUGUGGCGGCCCUUGGGGUAGCCGGCCGAGAUCUUGGGGUCCCAGUGGGGCACCAUGACGUGGUCCCAGUGCAGGUAGCGGCCCUCCCGCCCGGGGCUCCCGUACCACGAGUAGUAGAAGACGUGCAGGGCGUCGUAGACGGCCGGGCCCGGGGGCCGGGCCGGGGCCGGGGGCCGGGCGGAGCCGGGGCCCGCCGUGCGGGGCUCCCGGGGCUCCCGGGGGUCCCGGGGGUCCCGGGCCAGCACCGGCGGCCCGUCGGGAGGCUUCAGCGUGCGCAGCCCCAUCAGCGUCCCGAAGGCGAACAGCAGGACGAGGAAGAGGCCCAGCAAGGCGCGCCGCCGCCGCCGCCGGGCCAUGGCCGAAGGGCCCCGGGGACCCCCGAAGGCCCCGGCCCCGGCCCCGGCCCCGGCCCCGGCCCGCUUGGGACGCUCCUCCUCCUCCUCGUCCUCCUCGUCCUCCCUCCUCUCCCUCCUCCUCUCCCUCCUCUUCCCCCCUCCUCCUCGUCGUCGUCGUCCUCGGCCUCCUCCCAGGCCUGGACCCGCCGUUGCCUAGAGACGGCAGCCUCCCCGGCCGCUCCCCGCGGCCUCGCUCCGCCCCCCGCCCCCCGCGCACGCCCCGCCCCGGCCUCCGGCCCCCCGCCCUCCUCUCCCGCCCGGCCCGGGCCCCGAGCCCCCUCCCCCCCCAGGACCGGCCAUCACGUCCCCUCCCCGGGCCCGGCCCGGGCCCCACGCCCUCUGGCCCGCUGCCCUCUGCCCGCUGCCCUCUGCCCGCUGCCCUCUGCCCCCUGCCCUCUGCCCUCUGCCCCCUGCCCUCUGCCCCCUGCCCUCUGCCCCCUGCCCUCUGCCCGCUGCCCUCUGCCCCCUGCCCUCUGCCCUCUGCCCCCUGCCCUCUGCCCCCUGCCCUCUGCCCCCUGCCCACUCCCCUCUGCCCGCCGGGCGAGCAGAGGGGGCGGGGGAGGCCUUCCUUUCCUUCCCCCGAACCCGGGGCCGCCCGGGGCGCCGCCGACUGCCCCCCACCCUCCUCUGGUCCCCACCCAAAUGAGAAGCGGAGCGGACAGAACCCGGGCUUGGGAGUCAGAGGACGUGGGUUCUAAUCCCCGGCUCCGCCACUCGUCCGCUCUGUGA
rnacentral:lncRNA from 1 species